UAGAACCUAUGGAAACCCUCGUUCAUCGAGCCUCUACCUUUCGGUUCUCUUGGAACAAGACGGAAGAGAGUCACUCUUACCGUCGUGCAUACCUGAAGCGGGUCUGCCGCCUUCGUUUCUCUUUCUUCAGCGAAUGACUAACCUCCCUUUGGCUCUGCCUGUAAGGCGUGCCUUGCCGGUGCAAAUUGCCAGCAGGGUUCGGUUUAGGGCUUGUAGCUCAGUUGGUUAGAGCGCGCGCUUGAUAAGCGUGAGGUCGGAGGUUCAAGUCCUCCCAGGCCCACCACUUCCUCCGCCCGCAUGAUCCCAAAAAGUUGCAGACUUUUUGGAUAAGAUUAUGCGUCUGGGGCAUGAAGGUUAUCAGGGGCCGUAGCUCAGCUGGGAGAGCGCCUGCUUUGCAAGCAGGAUGUCGUCGGUUCGAUCCCGUCCGGCUCCACCAACCAUCUUCUGCGAAGAUGGGGCGUGUCGAGCGGAGACGGUGGAGAAAAAAGUCAUUCGAAAAAGAGUUUGCGUCGAGCCUCGUGCUCUGCGCCUGUUCUGUUUGACAUCGUAAAGAGAAGAUUUGUUCGAACUUCAUGAGCCGCAAGGACCAUGAUUUGUCGCAAGGGACGCUCAAUCCCUUGCCUAUGAUGGGUUUGCCUAACCGCGCCCUCGAACGGAUCUCGAGAAGCUGGUCUUUUUGUGCCAAUUCCAACCAGUAAUACCCCGCACAGGGUGUUGCUGGAGCGACGAUCUCUUCGAGAUCGCGCUUAUGCGACGAUCCUUCGGAUCGCGCUUAGCCAAUCCCGCAAGGGAGAGGCUGAAGCGACGAUCCCUGCGGGAUCGCGCGAUGAUGGGUAUUGGCAAUGAGAAC
rnacentral:tRNA from 1 species